rnacentral:rRNA from 1 species
GAUAAACGCUGGCGGCGCACAUAAGACAUGCAAGUCGAACGGAAGUCGUAAUAUAAACGGAACGAAGAUUUAUCAGAGUGAAAUUUAAAUUACAAUGGCUUUAGUGGCGGACUGGUGAGUAAUGUAUAAGUAACCUGCCUAUCAGAGGGGAACAACAGUUGGAAACGACUGCUAAUACCGCAUAUGCCAUAGAAAUCGCAUGGUUUCAGUGGGAAAGGAGCAAUCCGCCGAUAGAUGGACUUAUAUCUGAUUAGCUAGUUGGUGGGGUAAUGGCCUACCAAGGCGACGAUCAGUAGCCGGACUGAGAGGUUAAACGGCCACAUUGGGACUGAGAUACGGCCCAGACUCC